rnacentral:rRNA from 1 species
UACGUAGGGGGGCUAGCGUUGUCCGGAUUUAUUGGGCGUAAAGAGCGUGUAGGCGGCCAGGUAGGUCUGCUGUGAAAACUCGAGGCUCAACCUCGAGACGUCGGCGGAAACCAUCUGGCUAGAGUCCGGAAGAGGAGAGUGGAAUUCCUGGUGUAGCGGUGAAAUGCGCAGAUAUCGGGAGGAACACCAGUGGCGAAGGCGGUUGCCUGGAGCUUUGCUGACGCUGAGGCGCGAAAGCGUGGGGAGCGAGUCCGG